rnacentral:rRNA from 1 species
UAAAUAAUAUAUAACACUAUUUGUAUACACGAAAUUGAGGGAGCUAAUUAUUAUAUAUUUAUAGAUAGUAAGGUGUUGCAUAACUUUAGAAAUAAUAAUUAGGGGUGAUAGGCUAAUCAACUUCAAUGAUAACUUGAUAAUCAUUAAACGUAAAAGUACAAAAACACUUUUAGAAUGAUAAGGUUUUAAAAGAUAAAUAAUAUACUUAAUUGUAAAAAAUGCUCUGGUUAAUCUCUAGUAUAUUUAUAAUAUAUAAUACAUUAAGCGUGGUUGUUUUUAUUAUUGAUUAAUAUAUAAAUGACGUGUAUCUAUAAAUAAUGUUGAUAUUAGUAAUAUUAAAUACAUAACAUGAACUCGGCAAAUAAGCCUUUUAACUGUUUAUCAAAAACAUAGCUACAUGUAUUUAUAUGUGGUAAUUUCUGCUCAAUGAAGUUUAAAUAGCCGCAGUACUCUGACUGUGCUAAGGUAGCGCAAUCAAUUGGCUUUUAAUUGGAGUCCUGUAUGAAAGAAAACAUAAGGGGCUACUUUAUUUUUUGUAAUUAAUGAAUUUACUUAAAAAGUGCAAAUUCUUUUACUUAAAUAAAAGACGAGAAGACCCUAGAAAUUUUAUAGACUCGAGGCUUUUUGUUGGGGCAACAAAGUAGCAAUAUAAUCUACUAUAAAUACAUGAAAUAUAUAUUUUGUAAGAUUAAAUUACUCUAGGGAUAACAGCAUAAUUUACAAAAGUUUGUGACCUCGAUGUUGGAUUAGGGUAUUAACAUUUAAAAG